AGUAAACGCUGGCGGUAGGCCUAACACAUGCGAGUCGAACGGCAGCACAGUAAGAGCUUGCUCUUACGGGUGGCGAGUGGCGGACGGGUGAGGAAUACAUCGGAAUCUACUUUUUCGUGGGGGAUAACGUAGGGAAACUUACGCUAAUACCGCAUACGACCUACGGGUGAAAGCAGUGGAUCUUCGGACCUUGCGCGAUUGAAUGAGCCGAUGUCGGAUUAGCUAGUUGGCGGGGUAAAGGCCCACCAAGGCGACGAUCCGUAGCUGGUCUGAGAGGAUGAUCAGCCACACUGGAACUGAGACACGGUCCAGACUCCUACGGGAGGCAGCAGUGGGGAAUAUUGGACAAUGGGCGAAAGCCUGAUCCAGCCAUACCGCGUGGGUGAAGAAGGCCUUCGGGUUGUAAAGCCCUUUUGUUGGGAAAGAAAAGCAGCAGGUUAAUACCCCGCUGUUCUGACGGUACCCAAAGAAUAAGCACCGGCUAACUUCGUG
rnacentral:rRNA from 1 species